CUGCGAAUAUUGACUAUGAAGCUUUGAGAAGCUUUACCCGGGAUGACCUGAAGGAUCUCUUUCCAGGCCAUGAAAUUUCUUCCGGAGAAAGAAGCUUUGGAAUUUCAUAAUCCAACAGACUGCUGAACAAAAUGCCAACACUUGCCAUCGAAGCGAGAGUAACCCCUUAGGCUUUGUUGUGUCUGAAUGUCAGCCACAAACUUCCAGUCCCAUUUCCUACACUGCUCACAAAACAAUGAAAAUGCCAGACCCACCAGAGUAUGUGUUGUAUACAGAUUCAGAACUGGACAUGGUGCGCAGUCAGUACUUUGCAUUGCUUCACAGUGGAAAGGAAAAGGACUGUAAGAUGUCGAAGGAGCUCUGUUGCAGACUUAUAAGGAACACAGUCACCAGCAUGGUUGCAAUCCUUCGUGCUAGUCCCAUGGGGAAAGAAGUAGGAUACCCCUCCAAACUUGAAAUGAGAGCAAUGUCACAGAAGAUUGUCGACUAUUACCCUAUGUUAUGUGAUGCUGACACACACAUGCCAUAUGUGACCAUCUACACCAAACUGUACAAACGACUCCAAAAUAUGAAGUCUCCAAGGAGGAAACAGGGUUCCAUGCUGCAGCGAGGCAGGCCCAGGAAGAUUAUUUUCAGCUCAGACAACUUAGACAAUGAAACUGAAGGUGACUUAAGUGGCGAAGCAAGUGGUUCAAGUGACUAUACCAUACUUGACCUCAGCAAGGACAACUCAAAUGCAGAGAAAGCAUCAAAAUUCCAUCUACACUCUACUGUACCAACACAGUCAAACAAUAAUACCCUGGCUUCACCACUAUUAUCUAAGUCAGCCUCAUGCUCUGCACCCAGGGCUGCCAUAGGUCCACCAACUCCAGAUGACGAUGUUGCAGACCAUGACAGCCUGAAGAUGCAGCCAAGACAUUACAAAACCUUGAGCAACAUGUACAGGAAACCAAAUGCAAAACCCAACCAAAGUGACGUUGCUCAAAUUUUGGACCUGGAGUUUGAGGCCAGACGAGCUUUUAUUGAUGCAGAUGUUACAAGGGAAGAAGACAGGCCCACAAAAAUAUUUGAAGCAUACCCGUGCUUCAAAGAUAUUCGAAAUGUAAGCCUAGCUACCUUCAAUUAA
rnacentral:lncRNA from 1 species